rnacentral:ncRNA from 1 species
UCUUAUCCCGAGUAGGUGGAGGGACAGGCCCUAUGAAACCCAGCAACCGGUUAUUAAAUUCAAGAUUUCCUUGAAAGAGUUAAUAGCAAUGGUGCUAACCUGAAGCAAGGAUGAUGUCCUUGAACGAUAAGA